UACGAAGGGGGCUAGCGUUGCUCGGAAUCACUGGGCGUAAAGGGUGCGUAGGCGGGUCUUUAAGUCAGGGGUGAAAUCCUGGAGCUCAACUCCAGAACUGCCUUUGAUACUGAGGAUCUUGAGUUCGGGAGAGGUGAGUGGAACUGCGAGUGUAGAGGUGAAAUUCGUAGAUAUUAGGAAGAACACCAGUGGCGAAGGCGGCCAACUGGCCCGAUACUGACGCUCAUGUGCGAAAGCGUGGGGAGCAAACAGG
rnacentral:rRNA from 1 species